UUGACCUCGGAUCAGGUAGGGAUACCCGCUGAACUUAAGCAUAUCAAUAAGCGGGAGG
rnacentral:rRNA from 1 species